GCCACAUGAUGACGCGUAUAGAUUCAGGAGCCUUCGGGCCGUGGUGACCUGCUAUCUAUCACCCUUGUCUGAUGGCU